GUUAGUGUGGGAUAAUGGUUUUGAGUGUUGGACUACAACUCUGGAGACCAGGGUUCAAUUCCCAGCUCAGCCA